GAAAUGCGAUAAGUAAUGUGAAUUGCAGAAUUCAGUGAAUCAUCGAAUCUUUGAACGCACCUUGCGCUCCUUGGUAUUCAUUGGAGAAUGCCUGUUUGAGUAUCAUGAAAUCUUCAAAGUAAAUCUUUUGUUAACUCAAUUGGUUUCUACUUUGGUAUUGGAGGUCUUUGCAGCUUCACACCUGCUCCUCUUUGUUCAUUAGCUGGAUCUCAGUGUUAUGCUUGGUUCCACUCGGCGUGAUAAAUUAUCUAUCGCUGAGGACACUGUAAAAGGUGGCCAAGGUAAAUGCAGAUGAACCGCUUCUAAUAGUCCAUUGACUUGGACAAUACUUUUAUGAUCUGAUCUCAAAUCAGGUAGGACUACCCGCUGAACUUAAGC
rnacentral:misc_RNA from 1 species